UCUAAAACAAUGCAAUAAAUAUAUCUAAAGUAUAAAUUACAAAGAAUAAUAUAUUAACCUCAUGAUCUUUGCUGAUCUAAUAUCUCGUCGAAGUCUGUGUCGUUCGUAGACAUCCGGAUCAUCUACAUAUUUCGGAGGAACAUCAGUCCAUCCCUCUAUCCAAGUGUCACUGUAAUCUUGAAUAUUCAUCCCAAAUGGUAUUCUCUCUAGAUUGUAAGACAUAUCAGAUCCCUCGCUUAUUUGACUCUGAGAGGUAUCCUAGAGAUGAUGGUAUGGCUGUGGAGGAGUCCAUCCAAAUAUGCCAGUAGCAAGAUCCAAUUCAUAAAGUGCCCUGGACUGCAUAGGAUAGUAGCCAGUAGAAAUCGAUGUCUUAGAUACACCAUAUCCAUAUAGAUUAUAAGCUGCC
rnacentral:lncRNA from 1 species